rnacentral:rRNA from 1 species
GACGGAGGGUGCUAGCGUUGUUCGGAAUGAUUGGGCGUAAAGCGUCCGCAGGUGGCUAUGUAAGUCUGCUGUUAAAGAGUGAGGCUCAACCUCAUAAGAGCAGUGGAAACUACAUGGCUAGAGUGCGUUCGGGGCAGAGGGAAUUCCUGGUGUAGCGGUGAAAUGCGUAGAGAUCAGGAAGAACACCGGUGGCGAAAGCGCUCUGCUAGGCCGCAACUGACACUCAUGGACGAAAGCUAGGGGAGCGAAUGGG